UACGUAGGGUGCGAGCGUUGUCCGGAAUUAUUGGGCGUAAAGGGCUCGUAGGCGGUCUGUUGCGUCGGGAGUGAAAACUCAGGGCUUAACCCUGAGCCUGCUUCCGAUACGGGCAGACUAGAGGUAUGCAGGGGAGAACGGAAUUCCUGGUGUAGCGGUGAAAUGCGCAGAUAUCAGGAAGAACACCCGUGGCGAAAGCGGCUCUCUGGAACGGUACUGACGCUGAGACGCGAAAGCGUGGGGAGCGAACAGG
rnacentral:rRNA from 1 species